CAACAAAGAGUGGCUGGACCCAGGCUCAUUGGCAGCAGUAAAGUUGGAGAACAUAAUCACGAGGACUGCCUUACUGAAAGAUGUUCGACAGCUGUCUCCACAGCAUCAGACAUUCUCCCUUGAGGCUUACCACUCCCUCAUCUUGCACUUCGCACCCAAGCACACAGGGUUUUCAUACGUUGGGAUGUACAGCAGGCUUCUCUUAGCGGCGCUGCAUUACAAUCACAAUGCCAACCGCGAGACAGCACGGAAAAGUGAUGGGACGGAGAAGUACUGUGUGCGGUAUCCGGCUUCAGAAAAGGUGCCCAUGUGGUGCGUCCCAUCAAAGAGGCAGCCUCAUACGGUUAUGCAACAUCAUUGAUGAAGGCCCUUCAGGAAAGCUACACCCAUUCACCUGCAGCUCUUCGAGAGGUUAGCGCUAAUUUGUCCUCCGAUGCACCCGCCCCCAUCGCUAAAUCCUUCGAACAGGUUCCUAAGGAGGAGGCCGUCAGCCUCUUCCUAGCCCGGCAGUCACGCUACAAGAGAACCUAAA